rnacentral:lncRNA from 12 species
ACUGUUUUCUGGAUAAUCUAGCAUAAGGCACCCCAGUAUGCAGAGCAGAUAAGGGAAUGCCAGAGUGGAAGUGGGGGUUCUCCACCUUACCCUCCCCCCAGGGGAGCCCUUUCACAUCUGCUCCCAGUAUCAGCCCUACGGCACCACAGGGCAAACCCAGGCCCUUCCAUUACAGCUGGGGAAACUUUUUAUGGAUAGGGGUACGAGCUAACUACUAUUAUUCCCACUUUAAACACACAGAUGCGGGGAUAUGACUUUACCUUUGGAUUGAAUCAAAUUCCCACAGUUACCCGAGAAUCAACCUUGCAACAGCUCUCAGUCCCCAGGAAGACCCCAGGAGGAUCUCACCUCUGGAGGAUCGCAGGGCUCCUCUACGUGGUGAAAAUAGACUUGAGUCAUCAUCAGACCAAGAGCAGGUGCAAGAGAGUGACUCUGCAGGAAGACCCCAGGCACCCUAGCCCUGAUGCGGCUGCAAGGCACAGAAUGAACGAGGCAGGAGGCCCCAGAUGUGGGUGAUUUCUCCACAGUGGACCCACUUACGUUCCAAUCCGAGCUCUGCCACCUGCCAGCUAUGUGACUUUGUCACCUUACCAGCCUGGGUCUCUGCUUGCCUUUCUUUGAAACAGGAAUAUUAAUAGUAAGAACCUUAUAAAGUUGUAAUGAGAAUGAAAUAAAAAAAAAUAGUUGCGUUCUUAUAGCA